rnacentral:lncRNA from 1 species
AUAAGGCUUGCUUGGCGUAGCGGAUGAGUAGUAGGGGCUUGAUGCUCUAGGCUAAUAGACAGGAGUGGAGUUUUGAAGUUCACAAGGUAAGGCGUGUACAGCUGGGGUGAAUUCUUUUACAGCAGGGCUCGGGUCGGCAACUUCUGAAUGUCAUUCCUAUAUUGGUAUCCCAGCAAUACAUAUUAAUAUCAUAGAAUGGAAUCAUUAAUAAUGGGCCGGGGCAUUGAAGGCUUAAAUCAAUAGUAAUAGGUGGAAGAGUAGUAGUAAGUAGCAUAAGGAAAUAUCUCCCUGGAAAUUACACCACUACGAACAAUGUUUUCACUUUAUUUACGUAAUUCAACUCAUAAGCACAAGAACUCACUACUACAAGUAAGCAUCGAACUUGGAACUCAAACAAACACUAGCGCUAACAGGACUUCGCUACUACCUAAGAAAAGGGGGUCAAACAAUGGAAUAAGAAGAAAUGUGACAGUCAUGUGAGGAUGCCCUUAUUUUUCUUCAACUACAAAUGGCCAAGCGCCAGACAAGACACGGAUAGCCAAGCGGGCAAGUUACUACUAACGGAAUCGAACCAAUGGCUAAUCAGGAUUGGUCUACUACUGAUGAGAAUGGAUCCCCUGGCUUUGAUUACUUAACUACUGGGCAUGGACCUGGCACUAAUACCGAGAAGAAUGGACUACUGCCCCUAACUAGUUUGAAUCGAAUCAAUACCAAUAGGGAUUGGACUAUUGCCGCCAAGAACUUACCUGCUAACGAGGAAUCGCACUACUGAAAAAAGAAUCAAUCACAUAACAACGAGACUUACUCCACUGAAUGGGAAUAGAGAGCUCAACAAGUACUGCGGAGACUUCGACUAAUAAGUAUCUGACUUGAUCCACGACCUCGGAGUAUACCAGCACUGCUUAGCUUCUAAUAAUCAACCAAGUCACCCAGGCUUUCACAACCUCCCUAAAGUCUGACUUUGCUGUCUCUUAGGCUUAUAAUUGGCUAACUCUAAAACUGUAUCUACAAUCAAUCAAGUCUUGCUUCCCGACACCACCUAUGAAAAUCACCCUGUAUAUUAGUCUGCCCUUGCCUUGAUCCGAGCCUGACCUACCUUUACUAAAAUCUGAUAUAGUGGUCUCUCAUCCUGUUACUGGUGUUUUUCGUUCCGUUCUUUUACUCUCAUUCCAUAUUUACACAAAUGUGUGAUGCUGCUCUCGAAGAAGGAGGCGAUACCACUUUCUUUAUUACAGGCAUAGUUUGGAUUACAGGCAUCGUUAAGCGAUACUACUUUCUUUAUUAAAGACAUAUAAUUCAUAGGAGGAUCGGGCCCUAAGAUCUGAGGUAGUUGAAAG